AUACGGAGGGUGCAAGUGUUACUCGGAAUCACUGGGCGUAAAGCGCGCGCAGGCGGCUAUUUAAGUUGGAUGUGAAAGCCUACGGCUCAACCGUAGAACUGCAUCCAAAACUAUUUAGCUAGAGUGUGGGAGAGGAAGAUGGAAUUAGUUGUGUAGGGGUAAAAUCCGUAGAGAUAACUAGGAAUACCAAAAGCGAAGGCAAUCUUCUGGAACACUACUGACGCUGAGGCGCGAAAGCGUGGGGAGCAAACGGGAUUAGAAACCCUAGUAGUCC
rnacentral:rRNA from 1 species